GACGAACGCUGGCGGCGUGCUUAACACAUGCAAGUCGAACGGAAAGGCCCUGCUUUUGUGGGGUGCUCGAGUGGCGAACGGGUGAGUAACACGUGAGUAACCUGCCCUUGACUUUGGGAUAACUUCAGGAAACUGGGGCUAAUACCGGAUAGGAGCUCCUGCUGCAUGGUGGGGGUUGGAAAGUUUCGGCGGUUGGGGAUGGACUCGCGGCUUAUCAGCUUGUUGGUGGGGUAGUGGCUUACCAAGGCUUUGACGGGUAGCCGGCCUGAGAGGGUGACCGGCCACAUUGGGACUGAGAUACGGCCCAGACUCCUACGGGAGGCAGCAGUGGGGAAUAUUGCACAAUGGGGAAGCCUGAUGCAGCAACGCCGCGUGCGGGAUGACGGCCUUCGGGUUGUAAACCGCUUUCGCCUGUGACGAAGCGUGAGUGACGGUAAUGGGUAAAGAAGCACCGGCUAACUACGUG
rnacentral:rRNA from 1 species